rnacentral:rRNA from 1 species
AUUGAACGCUGGCGGCAUGCCUUACACAUGCAAGUCGAACGGCAGCACGGGAGCAAUCCUGGUGGCGAGUGGCGAACGGGUGAGUAAAGUAUCGGAACGUGCCCAGUCGUGGGGGAUAACGUAGCGAAAGUUACGCUAAUACCGCAUACGAUCUAUGGAUGAAAGCGGGGGAUCGCAAGACCUCGCGCGAUUGGAGCGGCCGAUAUCAGAUUAGGUAGUUGGUGGGGUAAAGGCUCACCAAGCCGACGAUCUGUAGCUGGUCUGAGAGGACGACCAGCCACACUGGGACUGAGACACGGCCCAGACUCCUACGGGAGGCAGCAGUGGGGAAUUUUGGACAAUGGGCGAAAGCCUGAUCCAGCCAUGCCGCGUGCAGGAUGAAGGCCUUCGGGUUGUAAACUGCUUUUGUACGGAACGAAUAGGUUUGGCCUAAUAAGCUGAGCUCAUGACGGUACCGCAAGAAUAAGCACCGGCUAACUACGUGCCAGCCGCCGGCGUAA